rnacentral:rRNA from 1 species
AUGGGAGCGCUUGAGAAGACUAUCAGGGGCUUUGUGGACAGGGAGGGGGAUGAAGUAGUGAAGCCAGAGCUAGGGACAAAUUUCGACUCGCUGACAGAGGCUUACGAUUUUUACAACUUAUAUUCGUGGGAGCAUGGCUUCGGCAUUAGAUACGGGAAAAACAUGAUCAAUCCUGAUAGAAGGAAGACCAUGCAGGAGAUUGUAUGUGGAUGCUCAGGGAAGCCUCUCCUUGAGAAUACAAGAUCCUGUAGGUGUGAGUGUCCAGCAAUGAUUAGGCUGUUGAGGGCAUCAGAUAAUGGGGAUCCAGAUUUACAUCUGAUGGAUAAAGCUUAUACUGGAAGCAUCUGGCCGGCCCUGGGCUGA